UGGGGAAUCUUGGACAAUGGGCGCAAGCCUGAUCCAGCCAUGCCGCGUGGAUGAUGAAGGCCUUAGGGUUGUAAAAUCCUUUCGUGGGGGACGAUAAUGACGGUACCCCAAGAAGAAGCUCCGGCUAACUUCGUGCCAGCAGCCGCGGUAAUACGUAGGGUGCAAGCGUUAAUCGGAAUUACUGGGCGUAAAGCGUGCGCAGGCGGUUAUGCAAGACAGGUGUGAAAUCCCCGGGCUUAACCUGGGAACUGCACUUGUGACUGCAUAGCUGGAGUACGGCAGAGGGGGAUGGAAUUCCGCGUGUAGCAGUGAAAUGCGUAGAUAUGCGGAGGAACACCUGAGGCGAAGGCGGGUUGCUAGGCUGAUACUGACGCUGAGGCGCGAAAGCUAGGGUAGCAAACGGGAUUAGAUACCCACGUAGUCCCUGAGCGGGCUGGCAAGGCGCAU
rnacentral:rRNA from 1 species